GUACCUGGGGCUCACUGCUGCCGCUGCCCCACCCGGCACCCUCGGCCGUGACCUCCACUGCUGGUGCAGCUUCGCCUCUUCACCCUUAGUCACCGUUUGCUGCUGUUCCUUUAACAUUUUACCAAGGUGCAAACCUUCUUGAGCCACAGACCUGCUGUGAACGCAGCUUCCUCUUUGACUCACAGUAACGUCCAGAUCCAUAAAGUGGGGCCCAGCAGCCCCUGCAGAGACAUUUGCACGUCCAACAUCAUCCCGGGAAUGCGGGUGGCUGCCCUGGGCUCCAUCCACUCUGUGCUGAAACCCUUGCCGAGGAGCUCGGGGAGAAAGAGUGCUCGUUCCUCUGAGGCGUCCACCGCCUGCGGCUCUCCCCACAGGAUCAACAGUCAGAGUUCCUCCAGCAGCGUCGGGCGUCCGUGCAGGAAAAGGACAGCCGAAGGGUUCAUCAAAACCAAAAAUGAAUGCGUUUUACACGUGAUGUCGCCUGCAGAUAGCAGGCUUUCCUGGGACAUGAGGCAAGUGCUUCGGGGAAUGCAAGGGUGUGGGGAGCUUGUCUCCGUCCUAACCUUGGUUGCCAAAUUCACUUUGCUUAUGUGUUCUAACAUCAAGACCAAGGAAGCCACUGGAAGGAUCGGAAACCACGCAAUUCCAAGUGCGGUACGUUCUGCCUGUCGGAGACUGCGACAUCUGGAGAGUCGGGUGGCCAGGGCAGCACCUGGGCAGGAGGACCUGGCUGAGCAGGCUGAGUGCUGGUUUGGGAGAGGGGUCCGGCCUGCAGUCAGUGGGAAGAGGGUGCCCUGGCUCUGAAGCUCCAGCUCCCAGUGACUCAGAGGCCAUCCCUGCCACAGCAAGGUCAGAAGACACUGAGAGCCGCCUGGGCCAGUGCGGUAGAGAAA
rnacentral:lncRNA from 1 species